rnacentral:lncRNA from 1 species
AUUAAAACAGCAUUAAUAUCUAUGAAAGGAAAAGAUACUAAAAGAUACUAUUCUCCUUCUUAAAACAUCCACAGAUGGGUGUUUGAGGAGUCCUAAGGAUGGUGAUUUAAGGAAGAGCUAUGGGUAGUGGAGUACAUGAAGCCUGUGAUGGAGCAAUGGGGCAGUGUGAAUCUCGCUUCUGGUUGCAAUCAAUUGCUGCUUCUCUGCUGUUCUCAGACACCACUUCAUAAGAAAGGGCUCAUUUCCAAUACCUGGAAAUCUGUUGUCUGUCGGGAGUCAGCAAUUUUAUUCAAGCAAGGGCCUCUUCAUUAAUAUUUCAGUCUUUAAAAACCAUAGUCAGGGUAUUUAAUUUUGACCUGCUAGCCAAAACAGCCACAUGCUAUAUUUAAAUUAAUGGAUGUAGUUUUGCUCUGACACAGCAUCAUUUAUGAAAAAUAGAAUAUAGUUUUGGUUCAAAGUUGACCAGCAAUUAAUUUAGAUGAUGACCUCUUGGUAUCAAACUAUGGUUAGAAUGCAACACAUUGUUUUUGCAGUGUUCUGUUCAAACGACAGCUUCUUCCAGUGCUCACAAUCACCUAAAAUUUCUACGUUUCAUAUCCUUAGUAGUGUCUAUCAUUUCUAUGUUUAUGGCACGGUAGGAAAGGACUGCAGUUUUUGCACACUUCUUUGUUCACGAUGUUAGUACUGUUGAGCAGUAGAGUAUUCCUUUUGGUGGAUUCCUGGGAAGAUGCAUAUCUUCUCUGUUUCCCACGUCCUGGUCCACAGGUCAUACUGCUCUGUCUUGGCUUUUCAGAGGAAAACUAAUCUUCUUUAUUUCUUGGCUCAGUAUUGAUGAUAGUAGUGGAGCUCUUCUAUCUCAGGCUGAUUUAGCAAACCCAGUGCCAGCGUAUGGCUGCUUCUCUGACUCAACACAAGCCACCCCCAAGAAGAUCGAUGGCUGCAGUGUAUCUGAAGAGGUCCUUUGUAUCCAAACCAGCAGGACGCUCCCACUGAGAAGGGGUUGAAAUUGGAUAUACAAAGAGAAGCCCGAGAGUGUGAUGGUGUGCUGUGUGAAUUAUAGGUCUUCCUCCAGCAGGAGAGGCCUUUCCAUGCUGCUCAGAGUCACAGACGUAUUGACCACAGAGGCUUUGUUCUUGACUUUUUUGCCCCCUUUGGAAAGGUUGUUUGAGUCCAGAUGGUGGCCUCUGCACAUGUUGAUCUUUACAAGUUUUAGACACUUUCCAUCCUGAAAGUCUACCUGUGACUGUUAUGGGAGACAGUGGAAGGUGAAAGGUGAAUUUCUUGUAGCUCUAAAACUGUAUACAUUCUAGUUAGGUCACACACACACACACACACACACACACACACACACACUGGCAAAGCAGACAGGUAAGAUACACACAGAGAAACACAUACACUAACAUACCCAAACACACACACUGAGACACAAACAGGCACAAACACACAUUUCUAAGGCUUUCAGUAAGCACUUCUGUCUCAUUUCUAAAAUUAUUACAAGUCUCUUGAACCAUUUAUCCCUAUUGCUUUGUUUUUUCUGGACAAGUUCUUAAUGCCUUAGGGUCUAUAUUUCUUUCUUUUUCAUUUAGAAUUGGAAAGUAGUUGUUUUGGGAGGUGGUGGUGAUUUGUCAUAUGAAUGGGAACUGAAGGCACAUAUUAAUUUUUAAUCUCAAAGUAUGCUUCAGCUGCUAAGAGUUGUUUCCUUUAGCUCCCUGUGUUGUCCCAUAGGACAAUAGCUCUGCCACAUUUACAUACUCCACACAGGUAAACACUGUGCAAGCACCACUAUAGUAAUCAAAUCAAAGUUACUUAGACUUAUACGUCAUGCCUGACCCGCACGGGAGCAGGUAUUUUUCCCCACCUAUUUGUUUAUGAUGAGUAGGAUACCCAAACUAUUGGCUGAUUUGUUAAUUGUCUAAUGUUUGUUUGUUUGUUUGUUUUUUCACUUGACACGAGUAGUCAUUUGGGAGGAUGCAAUCUUGACUGAGAAAAUGCCCCAAUCAGGAUGGUUUGUAGGUAAACCUAUAAGACUGUUUCUUGGUUAAUAAUAGAUGAGGGAUAAGGAAGCCGAUUGUGGGUUGUUCUGCCUCUGAGAAAAUGGUCCAGGGUUGUACAGAAAAGCAGACUGAGAAAGCUGUAAGAAGCAAACCAUUUGUCCACCCAUGGCUUCUGUUCCUGAUCCCAUGUUUCUGGCCUGACUUCCCUCAGUGAUGAAGUAUGAUUUGAGGGUUGUAAGUCAAAAUAAACACUUUCCUCAACAAGUCUGGUCUUGGUUUUAUCAGAGCAGUAGAAACUUUAACUAAGGCAAUGAGGAUGUUUAUUCUCUAAAACUUUUGCCUGCUUACUCUUUGGAAGAUAGAGUUGAAGACAGAAGCUCUGGUCUUGGUUCAUAUCCUAGUAUCUCUUCAGAAAAUAUGGUCACUGAUCUUGUUAGACAUGAUGGUCCUAUAACAUGUUAUAUACAUGUAUAUAUAUGCUACAAUAAUGUUCAUCACAAUGCAAGCAAAAAUGAGCUGUUAUUGAACUCUGAUGUGGUUGAACAGAUUUGUCCUAGAGAAAGCCUUUCCCCAGCACUGAAUACUCUGCAACUUCCUGGAAGACAGCAAAUCUUUCUGGUAAGGUUGCAAAGAUAAUUCAUAACAUUUCUUCACAUGAAAAACAAUAUGAGUUUUUCUUAGUUUUUUUUUUUCAAGAUGAAUUAGAACAUGCUUUGGUUUCUCAAAAACUAUGACAAGCGUACAGUUUGAGUUAACAAAACCUCGGGCAUGGAGUGGACACAGAAGAGACAGAUGAGUGAAGUCUGUGUAGGGUGUGGUUGGAGAGGAGGGAUGACUUGUCUUCACUACUAUCACAAGAAAUACAAGUAUUUACACACACACACACACACACACACACACACUUGUCAAUGGCUAACUAACUAUAGCUGGUCAAAAGCAACCAAAUAAUGACCCGAGAUGGAAGGUAGCAACAACUGUGGUCACAUUAUCACAUUUUUAUGGAUGAAAUUUUUACAUACACUGAAAUUUCAUUCCAUAAAUACGUAAAUCUCUAUGAGUCAAUUUAAAAGUUAGAUUAGAAAGAAAAUCAACCACUAAGUCUACAGAAAAGAUAAAAUAUGAUCCAUCAAGCCAAGUAGAAGAACACUUACAUUAAUAAUGUGUCAUGUUGAACAAUGUGCAGAUUUCUGACCUUUUCUCUGUUAGAAUCAAGCAAAGGCAUCUACAAAUGAUAACACCAUAGAAUGCAUGUCAUGUGCUUUUAUUUUAUUUUAUUUUAUUUUAUUUUAUUUUAUUUUAUUUUUCUUUUGUAUUAGAUAUUUUCCUUAUUUACAUUUCACAUGUUAUUCCCUUUCCUCACUUCCCCUCCAAAAACUUCCCUAUCCCCUCUCCUCCACUCCUGCUUCCCUGUCCUGGCAAUUCCCCUACACUGGGGCAUCGAGCCUUCACGAGACCAAGGGCUCUCCUCUCACUGAUGUCCCACUUCUGCCUAAAUUACUCUGUCAUUCCUGUUUGUGGAAGUAUUAUUUUGCCACUCCCCUUUUUCUUACAAACCCUGCCUUAGAGUUUGUAAAUAGCUGAAGGGAAGAAAGAGAACAUUUUUACUGUUUAGGCUGUGUGUGGGGGAACGGGGAGUUCAUAGAAAGACAGAAGGAUAAGACUAUAGAGCAGUCCACAGUCCUGCAUAUCAUUCAUAUGAGGUCACAACACUGAACUCACAGGAUUGGCAAAUGUCUGAAAUCAUGAGGGUACAGGCUGGAGAUCUUCCUCUGUCAUGUCAUAUUUAGGUUUUCUUCAAAUUCCAAUGCUCUCCUCCCCCCAAAAAAUGGUGUGUUGAAAAUAUCUGUCUUAAAACACCAGAAGAAAUUAUAGACUGAAUAUGCACUGUUUUCCUCAAGCUCCCAUGAGAGUGCAUAACAUUACCUCCAUAUUACUACAUACCUCAGUAAUCCCUGACUACAACUCAGUAAACAUACAAAUAUUUUCUGUGAUACACAUUCAGGAGGUAACUAUACUAGAUUCAGCCUGGUUAGGGUUGAGAUCAUAGACUAAUAGGUUCUUGGUACUAACAAGGACUUCCUUAAAUACAUUUGUUUUUAGCAGAUGUUGAACUAAUUGUAGGAAAAUAGUACCAAAAC